rnacentral:rRNA from 1 species
UCAAAACGACUNUCGGCAACGGAUAUCUCGGCUCUCGCAUCGAUGAAGAACGUAGCGAAAUGCGAUACUUGGUGUGAAUUGCAGAAUCCCGUGAACCAUCGAGUCUUUGAACGCAAGUUGCGCCCAAAGCCGUUAGGCCGAGGGCACGUCUGCCUGGGCGUCAC